rnacentral:lncRNA from 1 species
CCUUGGGGUACCCACUUUUGUGAACGGAGUGAGCGCUAGCCAAAAAUUAUAUAAGCCACACGCGCGCGACGCCAUCGGCCGGGCUCGAUUUGCUGCUCCGAGAUUUCCGCACGCGGAGGACCAAGUCUCACACAUUUUUCACACGCGUAGAGAGCUCGGGAAUGAGAUUCUUCACUCCAAAACCGAGAAUCGAAUCCUCUUCUCUG